rnacentral:rRNA from 1 species
CCUACGGGGGGCAGCAGUGGGGAAUAUUGCACAAUGGGGGAAACCCUGAUGCAGCCAUGCCGCGUGUGUGAAGAAGGCCUUCGGGUUGUAAAGCACUUUCAGCAGCGAGGAAAAGUUAGUAGUUAAUACCUGCUAGCCUUGACGUUAACUGCAGAAGAAGCACCGGCUAACUCCGUGCCAGCAGCCGCGGUAAUACGGAGGGUGCAAGCGUUAAUCGGAAUUACUGGGCGUAAAGCGCAUGCAGGCGGUCUGUUAAGCCAGAUGUGAAAGCCCGGGGCUCAACCCCGGAAUAGCAUUUGGAACUGGCAGACUAGAGUUUCGUAGAGGGGGGUAGAAUUUCAGGUGUAGCGGUGAAAUGCGUAGAGAUCUGAAGGAAUACCAGUGGCGAAGGCGGCCCCCUGGACAAAAACUGACGCUCAGAUGCGAAAGCGUGGGUAGCAAACAGGAUUAGAUACCCUGGUAGUCCACGCCGUAAACGAUGUCAACUAGCUGCUUGUGACUUUAAGUCGUGGGUGGCGGAGCUAACGCAUUAAGUUGACCGCCUGGGGAGUACGGCCGCAAGGUUAAAACUCAAAUGAAUUGACGGGGGCCCGCACAAGCGGUGGAGCAUGUGGUUUAAUUCGAUGCAACGCGAAGAACCUUACCAUCCCUUGACAUCCAGAGAAUUUUCUAGAGAUAGAUUAGUGCCUUCGGGAACUCUGAGACAGGUGCUGCAUGGCUGUCGUCAGCUCGUGUUGUGAAAUGUUGGGUUAAGUCCCGCAACGAGCGCAACCCUUGUCCUUAUUUGCCAGCACUUCGGGUGGGAACUUUAAGGAGACUGCCGGUGAUAAACCGGAGGAAGGUGGGGACGACGUCAAGUCAUCAUGGCCCUUACGGGAUGGGCUACACACGUGCUACAAUGGUCGGUACAAAGUGCUGCGAGCUCGCGAGAGUCAGCGAAUCACUUAAAGCCGGUCGUAGUCCGGAUUGGAGUCUGCAACUCGACUCCAUGAAGUCGGAAUCGCUAGUAAUCGUAGAUCAGAAUGCUACGGUGAAUACGUUCCCGGGCCUUGUACACACCGCCCGUC